AGUGAACGCUGGCGGUAGGCCUAACACAUGCAAGUCGAACGGCACCACAGUAAGAGCUUGCUCUUACGGGUGGCGAGUGGCGGACGGGUGAGGAAUACAUCGGAAUCUACUUUUUCGUGGGGGAUAACGUAGGGAAACUUACGCUAAUACCGCAUACGACCUACGGGUGAAAGCAGGGGAUCUUCGGACCUUGCGCGAUUGAAUGAGCCGAUGUCGGAUUAGCUAGUUGGCGGGGUAAAGGCUCACCAAGGCGACGAUCCGUAGCUGGUCUGAGAGGAUGAUCAGCCACACUGGAACUGAGACACGGUCCAGACUCCUACGGGAGGCAGCAGUGGGGAAUAUUGGACAAUGGGCGCAAGCCUGAUCCAGCCAUACCGCGUGGGUGAAGAAGGCCUUCGGGUUGUAAAGCCCUUUUGUUGGGAAAGAAAAGCAGCAGGUUAAUACCCCGCUGUUCUGACGGUACCCAAAGAAUAAGCACCGGCUAACUUCGUG
rnacentral:rRNA from 1 species